rnacentral:rRNA from 1 species
UAGGGAAUCUUCGGCAAUGGACGGAAGUCUGACCGAGCAACGCCGCGUGGGUGAAGAAGGUUUUCGGAUCGUAAAGCUCUGUUGUAAGAGAAGAACGAGUGUGAGAGUGGAAAGUUCACACUGUGACGGUAUCUUACCAGAAAGGGACGGCUAACUACGUGCCAGCAGCCGCGGUAAUACGUAGGUCCCGAGCGUUGUCCGGAUUUAUUGGGCGUAAAGCGAGCGCAGGCGGUUAGAUAAGUCUGAAGUUAAAGGCUGUGGCUUAACCAUAGUACGCUUUGGAAACUGUUUAACUUGAGUGCAAGAGGGGAGAGUGGAAUUCCAUGUGUAGCGGUGAAAUGCGUAGAUAUAUGGAGGAACACCGGUGGCGAAAGCGGCUCUCUGGCUUGUAACUGACGCUGAGGCUCGAAAGCGUGGGGAGCAAACAGGAUUAGAUACCCUGGUAGUCCACGCCGUAAACGAUGAGUGCUAGGUGUUAGACCCUUUCCGGGGUUUAGUGCCGUAGCUAACGCAUUAAGCACUCCGCCUGGGGAGUACGACCGCAAGGUUG